AACACCGAAACAAGCCAUAAAACCAUCAACACUCGUGCCACUCAAGGGAAAAACAAAACCAGGCAUAUAUUAUGAUGCACCACUCAAGGGAAAAACAGAACCAGACAUAUAUUAUGAUGCAGGAAGCAGACUUGAUCGACAUACAAUCCCCACCACUCAAAGCAAACAAAAAUCAUUACUUCAAAUUAAAGAUAAUAAAAUGUGAA
rnacentral:lncRNA from 1 species